rnacentral:miRNA from 1 species
CUUAUAUGGCUUUAAUUUGUUGAUUUAUCAAAAGCGUUUGAUACUGUGAACCACAUGAGUGGAGUACCUCUGAUACCGUAAUGGUUUAGUUUACUUAUAAGAAUUUUGUGGUUCACAGUAUCAAACGCUUUUGAUAAAUCAACAAUUAAUCGACAGUCU